AUAUUGCACAAUGGGCGCAAGCCUGAUGCAGCGACGCCGCGUGAGGGAUGACGGCCUUCGGGUUGUAAACCUCUUUCAGUAGGGAAGAAGCGAAAGUGACGGUACCUGCAGAAGAAGCGCCGGCUAACUACGUGCCAGCAGCCGCGGUAAUACGUAGGGCGCAAGCGUUAUCCGGAUUUAUUGGGCGUAAAGAGCUCGUAGGCGGUUUGUCGCGUCUGCCGUGAAAGUCCGGGGCUUAACCCCGGAUCUGCGGUGGGUACGGGCAGACUAGAGUGAUGUAGGGGAGACUGGAAUUCCUGGUGUAGCGGUGAAAUGCGCAGAUAUCAGGAGGAACACCGAUGGCGAAGGCAGGUCUCUGGGCAUUAACUGACGCUGAGGAGCGAAAGCGUGGGGAGCAAACAGGA
rnacentral:rRNA from 1 species